AGCGAACGCUGGCGGCAGGCCUAACACAUGCAAGUCGAACGGACCCUUCGGGGUUAGUGGCGGACGGGUGAGUAACACGUGGGAACGUGCCUUUAGGUUCGGAAUAGCUCCUGGAAACGGGUGGUAAUGCCGAAUGUGCCCUUCGGCGGAAAGAUUUAUCGCCUUUAGAGCGGCCCGCGUCUGAUUAGCUAGUUGGUGGUGUAACGGACCACCAAGGCGACGAUCAGUAGCUGGUCUGAGAGGAUGAUCAGCCACAUGGGGACUGAGACACGGACCAAACUCCUACGGGGGGAAGCAGUGGGGAAGUUUGCGCGAUGUGCAGAGGCCUUACUCAGCCAGUCCGCGAGAAUUAUGAAGGUCUUAGGAUUGUAAAGUUCUUUCACCGGGGACGAUAAUUACGGUAGCCAGAGAAGAAGCCCCGGCUAACUUCGUGCCAGCAGCCGCCGUAACAC
rnacentral:rRNA from 1 species